rnacentral:rRNA from 1 species
UGGCUCUUCCGGAGUCCGAGUUGUAAUUUGUAGAAGAUGCUUUGGGUUGUGGGUUCGGCCUAAGUUCCUUGGAACAGGACGUCAUAGAGGGUGAGAAUCCCGUAUGUGGCCGAGGCCCGCGCCUAUGUAAAGCUCUUUCAACGAGUCGAGUUGUUUGGGAAUGCAGCUCAAAAUGGGUGGUAAAUUUCAUCUAAAGCUAAAUAUGGGCCAGAGACCGAUAGCGCACAAGUAGAGUGAUCGAAAGAUGAAAAGCACUUUGGAAAGAGAGUUAAACAGUACGUGAAAUUGUUGAAAGGGAAGCGCUUGCAACCAGACUUGGGCGCUGCCGAUCACCUUGAGUUUUCUCGAGUGCACUCGACAGCGCACAGGCCAGCAUCGGUUCGGGUGGCUGGAUAAAGGCCGUAGGAAUGUGGCUCUCUUCGGGGAGUGUUAUAGCCUACGGUGCCAUGCAGCCCAGCCGGACCGAGGACCGCGCCUUCGGGCUAGGAUGCUGGCGUAAUGGUUGUAAGCGACCCGUCUUGAAACACGGACCAAGGAGUCUAACAUCUAUGCGAGUGUUUGGGUGGUAAACCCAUACGCGGAAUGAAAGUGAACGUAGGUGAGAACCCCUUUGGGGCGCAUCAUCGACCGAUCCUGAUGUCUUCGGAUGGAUUUGAGUAAGAGCAUAGCUGUUGGGACCCGAAAGAUGGUGAACUAUGCCUGAAUAGGGUGAAGCCAGAGGAAACUCUGGUGGAGGCUCGCAGCGGUUCUGACGUGCAAAUCGAUCGU